ACUCAAAUGAAUUGACGGGGACCCGCACAAGCGGAGGAUCAUGUUGUUUAAUUCGAUGCUAAGCGAAGAACCUUACCAGGGUUUGACAUCCUUGGAAUUUUGCCGAAAGGCGAGAGUGCCGCAAGGAACCAAGUGACAGAUGAUGCAUGGCCGUCGUCAGCUCGUGUCGUGAGAUGUUUGGUUAAGUCCAUCAACGAGCGCAACCCUUGUGAAUAGUUGUAUUUUUCUAUUCAAACUGCCCCGGUAACGGGGAGGAAGGAGGGGAUGAGGUCAGGUCAGUAUUUCUCUUACACCCUGGGCUACAAACGUGAUACAAUGGCCGGUACAAUGGGCAGCGAAACCGCGAGGUGGAGCAAAUCUCAUCAAAGCCGGUCUCAGUUCGGAUUGCAGGCUGAAACUCGCCUGCAUGAAGUCGGAUUCGCUAGUAAUCGUAGGUCAGCACACUACGGUGAAUACGUUCCCGGGUCUUGUACACACCGCCCGU
rnacentral:rRNA from 1 species